rnacentral:rRNA from 1 species
CAGAGCCACGGUAAUACGGAGGAUCCAAGCGUUAUCCGGAAUCAUUGGGUUUAAAGGGUCCGUAGGCGGUCUUGUAAGUCAGUGGUGAAAGCCAAUCGCUCAACGGUGGAACGGCCAUUGAUACUGCAGGACUUGAAUUAUUGGGAAGUAACUAGAAUAUGUAGUGUAGCGGUGAAAUGCUUAGAGAUUACAUGGAAUACCAAUUGCGAAGGCAGGUUACUACCAAUUGAUUGACGCUGAUGGACGAAAGCGUGGGUAGCGAACAGGAUUAGAGACCCCUGUAGUCCCUGUCUCUUAUACA